UGGUUCUGGCAUNGAUGAAGAACGCAGCGAAAUGCGAUAAGUAAUGUGAAUUGCAGAAUUCAGUGAAUCAUCGAAUCUUUGAACGCACAUUGCACCCUCUGGUAUUCCGGGGGGUAUGCCUGUUCGAGCGUCAUUGCAACCCUCAAGCUGUGCUUGGUAUUGGGCACCGCCGGUCACGGUGUGCCUUAAAAUCAGUGGCGGUGCCACUCGGCUUCAAGCGUAGUAAUACUUCUCGCUUCUGGAGUUUGGGUGUGCGCUCGCCAUCGACCCCCAAUUUUAUCAAUGGUUGACCUCGGAUCAGGUAGGGAUACCCGCUGA
rnacentral:misc_RNA from 1 species